GCAGAAGCAGCCAACUGCUCCAUAUUUGCCUUCUAUUACACAUUUACAUACUGGAGAAGAGAGGAGCGAGCUUCUACACCGCAGACAUCAUUUCUAUUACAGUUGGUGAGGAAGCAACUGUAUCAUACCGAAGGGGAAGAGAAAUAAAUUAUUUUUUUUUAAAAAAAGCAAAAAAAAAAAAAAAGCCCAAGCCCUUGAGAUCAGCUGGCAAGUUUUGUUUUUUUUUUCCGGUCCGUCUUCCCCACACCCCAGUCUCCACUGACACUUUAUACAAUUUUCAAUCACAGACACAUCAAGCUAAAGAGACAAUCUAAGCACUGAAUUUUUUCUUCACCUCUCCAAGACAACUGCAGCAACAAAUUUUACCUUUCCUUAAAAGGUGCUCUUUUUCCCUAAAUAAGAAAACUGUAGCACAAAAGUGGAUAUUUGAGGCCUAAGAAGACUUUUUAUUAAAUGAAAGUAGGACAACUUUAUAUUCAGAUCUUUAAUUGAGGACUAUGCCAUCCUGAUGCCUACCAUAAUUCCUUGAACUAAAAUGGACUCCUUUAAACAAGCAUAAGAUUUGAUUAUGCUGACCAAGGAUAGUGGAAGUUGUAGAACAACAUGAGAUCACAUCCUGGGGCACAAUGAAAGAGUUUUAAUGCACAGACUUCACAAAAAAGUUCAGCAGCAAGUAGUACAAGGGACACAAAAGAAAGAUAUUACUAGAGCACUUUGGAACACUCCUGGCAUUUGA